CUGACUCGAUUAGAGCCUAUGGUUAUCAGCAUUUUUUUAUUUUUUUUUUUGCUACUUCUCCUCGUGCAUGCCAGCAGAAAAUAAACCUUCUAAAAUUCUACCACCAGCUGAAUUAACAUUUCUAAAAUCCUAAAACCAGCAGAAAGCAGAAAACCCAGGAAAAAUUCCAAAUAGAAACAAUUGAAACUCCGAUUGGUUUUUUUUGAGUACUAGAAAGUCUGGAUGAACCGAGAUGGCGAGCCUAGCCUGCGAGACCGGUAGAUGAUCUUUAACGGAGUGGCCAGCCGUUGAUUUGUCACCAGAGGAAUCCUGAUUUACGUCGAGAGUGCCAGUUAAGGCAUUAUUCUUCACCCACAGUAGUGUUACAAUAAGUGCACUGGAGGACAAGGAAAUUAAUGUUCACUUAAAUACACAUUCACCGAACUUUGGAUCCAUAUUCCACAUUCACUUACGGAACCAAUUGAACAUUUAAGGGGGAUUUAUUUUUCUAUUAUUUUAAAGAGCUCUUAGUUCUUUUUCUGUUUCAACAUUAUUGUACCAAUUAUUUUCACUGUUGUAAGAAGGCAAUAAAAUUGUCAGUUGUUCAACUCAAUCGGGGCUUCUCUUGUGAAUUGGCCCAACCUACCUCUCAACGAACCUAGGUAGAUGUUAGCGUCCCUUAGUUACUUCCAUAAGAUCAACACCAUAGGCGCUACAUACAGUAAAUGCAAUAUCUCUCAGCACUAAUAGCAAAUUAUAUAGAGACCCAUAGAACAGUUGACAAGUCAUAAAAUAAGUUUAUUUUCUUAAUAAGCUUUUUUCCCAAUUACCUAAUCCAUGUUUGGUGAGUUCAGCAAGCACAGCUGUAGGGGGCAGAAUCUCACUAUCAAGCCCUGGAAGAAGGAAGAGGUUUGCAUGCCAAAUAGGUUCUUCCCUGCGGCCAGCAGAACUUUUGCAUUUCUUUUGCGUUCUUCCCACCCCUACAACUAACAUUAUUUAGUUCAUUGUCUUCUUUGGUUGCAACUUUUUUUUUUUUCAGAUUAAUGAGGUGUGUAAAACCAAUUGAGGGGAGUUGAGGAUAUCUGGAACUGAAAUUGUGACUAGUCAGAAUUAAAUUAUAGAUAUCUCUAACCGGAAUUAUGGAUAGUUAUAAUUUAGUUGUAGAUAUCCACAUUUCACAUCACGGAUAUCAAAACCGAAUUGAAGAUAUCUAUACAGAGAAACUCCAUAGACAUGAAUGGGAAAAGUGACGUUAUUCGUCCUAGGAAGAAUGACGUUGUGGAUAUCUGAAAAGAGAGUUGUGGAUAGGAGCAAUGCUAUUGUGGAUAUCUGAAAUUUUCAUUUGGCAGAACUGAAUUACGGAUAUCUAUAAUACAUAUCCAGACUAGCCAUUAAAUGUUAAAAUGGCUUGCCAUAGUGCUGCUUUACUUGAACAAUACCACAAUAAACUUCUGGUGAUGCUA